rnacentral:hammerhead_ribozyme from 1 species
AUCCAGCUGACGAGUUCCGACUAGGACAAGACGCGCGUCAAGCUGGAU